rnacentral:rRNA from 1 species
AUGUCGAGAGGGAAACAGCCCAGAGCAUCGACUAAGGCCCCUAAGCGUACGCUAAGUGGGAAAGGAUGUGGAGUCGCAGAGACAACCAGGAGGUUGGCUUAGAAGCAGCCACCCUUGAAAGAGUGCGUAAUAGCUCACUGGUCUAGUGAUUCCGCGCCGACAAUGUAGCGGGGCUCAAGCGUACCGCCGAAGUCGUGUCAUUGCAGCAAUACUCCCAACGGAGGCUGUGAUGGGUAGGGGAGCGUCGUGUGCCGGGUGAAGCAGCCGUGGAAGCGAGUUGUGGACGGUUCACGAGUGAGAAUGCAGGCAUGAGUAGCGAUUCACACGUGAGAAACGUGUGCGCCGAUUGACUAAGGGUUCCUGGGUCAAGCUGAUCUGCCCAGGGUAAGUCGGGACCUAAGGCGAGGCCGACAGGCGUAGUCGAUGGAUAACCGGUUGAUAUUCCGGUACCCGCUGUGAAGCGUCAAACAUUGAAUCCAGUGAUGCUAAGCCCGUGAAGCCGUUCCGGACCCUUCGGGGAAUGGAAAGUGGUGGAGCCGGUGGCCCGAGCUGGUAGUAGGUGAGUGAUGGGGUGACGCAGGAAGGUAGUCCAUCCCGGGCGGUGGUUGUCCCGGGGUAAGGGUGUAGGACGUCAGGUAGGUAAAUCCGCCUGGCAAUAGUCUGAGACCUGAUGCCGAGCCGAUUGUGGUGAAGUGGAUGAUCCUAUGCUGUCGAGAAAAGCCUCUAGCGAGUUUCAUGGCGGCCCGUACCCUAAACCGACUCAGGUGGUCAGGUAGAGAAUACCGAGGCGUUCGGGUGAACUAUGGUUAAGGAACUCGGCAAAAUGCCCCCGUAACUUCGGGAGAAGGGGGGCCAUGUCUGGUGAUGAGUCUUGCACUCUGAGCUGGGUGUGGCCGCAGAGACCAGCGAGAAGCGACUGUUUACUAAAAACACAGGUCCGUGCGRAGCCGUAAGGCGAUGUAUACGGACUGACGCCUGCCCGGUGCUGAACGUUAA